ACGCUCGCUGGCGCGGGUUCUGGGCGUGCGCCGCUUCGUCGACGGCUGGCUGCGCACCUACGGCGCCGGCGUGCAGCGGCGCCUGCGCGGC
rnacentral:tRNA from 1 species